UGGCUCAGGAUGAACGCUGGCGGCGUGCCUAAUACAUGCAAGUCGAGCGAACGGACGAGAAGCUUGCUUCUCUGAUGUUAGCGGCGGACGGGUGAGUAACACGUGGAUAACCUACCUAUAAGACUGGGAUAACUUCGGGAAACCGGAGCUAAUACCGGAUAAUAUUUUGAACCGCAUGGUUCAAAAGUGAAAGACGGUCUUGCUGUCACUUAUAGAUGGAUCCGCGCUGCAUUAGCUAGUUGGUAAGGUAACGGCUUACCAAGGCAACGAUGCAUAGCCGACCUGAGAGGGUGAUCGGCCACACUGGAACUGAGACACGGUCCAGACUCCUACGGGAGGCAGCAGUAGGGAAUCUUCCGCAAUGGGCGAAAGCCUGACGGAGCAACGCCGCGUGAGUGAUGAAGGUCUUCGGAUCGUAAAACUCUGUUAUUAGGGAAGAACAUAUGUGUAAGUAACUGUGCACAUCUGACGGUACCUAAUCA
rnacentral:rRNA from 2 species